rnacentral:rRNA from 1 species
AUUGAACGCUGGCGGCAUGCCUUACACUUGCAAGUCGAACGGUAACGGGCCUUCGGGUGCCGACGAGUGGCGAACGGGUGAGUAAUGUAGCGGAACGUACCUUUAAGUGGGGGAUAACGUAGCGAAAGUUACGCUAAUACCGCAUAUUCUGUGAGCAGGAAAGCAGGGGAUCGGAAGACCUUGCGCUGAUUGAGCGGGCGAUAUCAGAUUAGCUAGUUGGUGAGGUAAAGGCUCACCAAGGCGACGAUCUGUAGCGGGUCUGAGAGGAUGAUCCGCCACACUGGAACUGAGACACGGUCCAGACUCCUACGGGAGGCAGCAGUGGGGAAUUUUGGACAAUGGGGGCAACCCUGAUCCAGCCAUGCCGCGUGAGUGAAGAAGGCCUUCGGGUUGUAAAGCUCUUUCGGCCGGGAAGAAAUCGUAUCAGCUAAUACCUGGUGCGGAUGACGGUACCGGCAUAAGAAGCACCGGCUAACUACGUGCCAGCCGCCGCCGUAACAC